AUCCAGCUGACGAGUCCCGAAUAGAACGAAUGCGCGUUCUGGAU
rfam:Schistosoma mansoni strain Puerto Rico chromosome 1, complete genome